rnacentral:rRNA from 1 species
UACGGGGGGAGCAAGCGUUGUUCGGAUUUACUGGGCGUAAAGGGCGCGUAGGCGGCGUGACAAGUCACUUGUGAAAUCUCCGGGCUUAACUCGGAACGGUCAAGUGAUACUGUCGGACUAGAGUACAGAAGGGGCAACUGGAAUUCUUGGUGUAGCGGUGAAAUGCGUAGAUAUCGGGAGGAACACCAGUGGCGAAGGCGACUAUCUGGGUUGUAACUGACGCUGAGGCGCGAAGGCUAGGGGAGCGAACAGG